GGACUACCCGGGUAUCUAAUCCUGUUUGCUCCCCACGCUUUCGUGCCUCAGCGUCAGUUACCGUCCAGAGAGUCGCUUUCGCCACCGGUAUUCCUCCUGAUAUCUACGCAUUUCACCGCUACACCAGGAAUUCCACUCUCCCCUCCGGCACUCUAGCCUUCCAGUUUCUGGCGCACUUCCAAGGCUAAGCCCUGGGCUUUCACGUCAGACUUAAAAAGCCGCCUACGCACCCUUUACGCCCAAUGAUUCCGAGCAACGCUUGCACCCUCCGUCUUACCGCGGCGGCUGGCAC
rnacentral:rRNA from 1 species